rnacentral:rRNA from 1 species
AGGACGAACGCUGGCGGCGUGCCUAACACAUGCAAGUCGAACGCGCUCCAUUCGGUAGCAAUACUGAUGAAGAGCGAGUGGCGAACGGGUGAGUAGCACGUGAGCAACCUGCCCCGAAGACUGGGACAACACCGGGAAACCGGUGCUAAUACCGGAUAUCCCUAUUGGAUCGCAUGAUCCGAUAAGGAAAUGUUUUUCGCUUCGGGAGGGGCUCGCGGCCUAUCAGCUAGUUGGUGGGGUAACGGCCCACCAAGGCAUCGACGGGUAGCUGGUCUGAGAGGACGAUCAGCCACACUGGGACUGAGACACGGCCCAGACUCCUACGGGAGGCAGCAGUGGGGAAUCUUGCGCAAUGGGCGAAAGCCUGACGCAGCAACGCCGCGUGGAGGACGGAGGCUUUCUGAGUUGUAAACUCCUUUCAGCAGGGACGAUUGUGACGGUACCUGCAGAAGAGCACCGGCCAACUACGUGCCAGCAGCCG